UGACAUGGGGGCGGGAGGUGGGUUAACAAAGCAGAUACAUUUAUUGCACAACACAGUGUGACAAAGGAUGAGAACGAAGUCUUCGGAUGCAAAACUGCACCUGAUUUGGGGGCGAUUCUACAAUUCCACUUCGCGACUGCAGACUUUGUGAACACAAAAGCAAGUGCUGAUGAGGAGAGGGCGCUGAAGUGUGGCGUGAGGAGCUCAGACUCGGAACCCUAUUGGCUGGAUUGGGAGGCGCUGCAGCCAAUCACGCGAUGUCAAUAGAGGCUAAAUGGAAAUACGUGCUCAGACUUGUGGCUGUGGCACCGUUGAGAACUGUUGCAGCCUGACAACUGCUCCCCACUUUCUGGUGGAAGAAGGUCCUGCAGAAAAACCAGGAGCAGAGGGACGAUCCCUGGCACAGAUUUCUGGAUCAACAGAAAAACAGCAAGAAAAAUGAGAACCACGAGUCGCCUCACCACUCCAUGGACUCAGAGGUCAAACAGACCAGGCAGCAAUCUCACACUUCAAAUGAAAGCGACUGAAAUAAAGUGAGCACGGACGUUACAAUGUUCAGACGUAACAUAGGGAGGACCACAAACGUUCUUUUCUUGGACAACGCCUCAAAGGAUCUCGAUAAAGGGAUGCUUUUCAAACGUGGAGUCUAACUGAACGGCACAUCUUGGACAACGUGACAGACAGGCUGAGGACAAACUGUGGCUUAGAGACAUGCUGAACUGAGGUAGAGGAGAAUUUACUUGAAUCACAGAUCAUCUACAUAUAUGCUUUAUGAGACACUAAACGUGUUCUUGAUGUCUUUUAGGAAACAACAUGCUAUAAUGACAGGAGUGUGUGUGCGUGUGUGUGUGUGUGUAUGCGUGUGCAUGUAUGUUCUCACAGGUACACAUCAAGAAUAUGUCACAGAUGAACAUUGCAUAUCAUGUGCUAUACCAAAUCAUAUUGCAUGCCUGGAAGUACAGAGCAUGCAAUCAGACAUAAUGACAACAACAACACAAAAAGAAAUCUUCAUUUUCACUCUUUGUUAACCAACGUCUCGAAACAGCUUCAAGUGUACUCGUCAAGUAAUAUGGGAACAAUGAUGACAGCGUAGAUAAAAAAGGGUUAACAUUGUUAAAUCUCUAUUUUUUUAAGGUAUCAUAUGUUUUAUAUGAAAAGAAAUCGGUUAAACUGGUGACAGGUUAUUUUUUUAAAGCAUUUUUGCUAAAUGAUUUUCUUCUUUCUCGUGACUUAUUUUGCCUUGUUGGAACAGCAACUGAAAGAACAGAUGAACUGUAGAAUAACGGCAGUGUAGAAAGCCUCACACCCCUUUUCUCCUCAAACAAAGUGUAGUGCAGGGCAAAAGCUGCAGGGUCUUUGACUUCACCUUUGUUUCUUUAUUCCUUUUUUUCUAAUUGUGAUUGUUCAUAUAGUUUGAAAUAACAUUUGGAUCAGAAUGCUGUAUCACCUGUCGUUUAAAAAAAAAAAAAAGAGCAUCUACCUCAAUGUCAUGAUCUUCAUUUUUUCCAGAAGCUUCACCCUGGGAAACAGUACCGCUGCAUCAAUCAUGUAACUGUCUGUGCCGUCAUUAAACCAGUGCAUUUACCCUGCCAUGGAGUCAGAUGAACUUAUAUGUCAUGUUCCUCAAAAUAGUUUGACCCGCUUGUCCUCACUGUCCAUUCUUGAGGCCUGCUGUAUCUGUACGCGUUAGUCUAGCUGAAGCCCAUUGACAUGUUGGUUUGUGCAGUAAAGCAAGAUCUAUACAUAUAUAAGGGCCCAUAUCAUUGAAACUUGAUGUAGUGUAUGAAAACAUUGUUACAGUUUCAAGACAUACCUUUCACCCCCAAGUCAUAUAUGGAAAUUAAGCUAAAACUUUUUUGUGAUGUCACGAAAACCAGUGCAUUUACAUAUAUCUGCCUAUUUAGCCCACAGCAGUUUAGCCCACAUCCAUUUAUGUUGAAGUUAUUAGGAGAGUUUUAGCCCAGACCGCUUUCUGAGUGAGACACAAUAUAAGGUGGCCAAUAAGAACAGUGCUCAUUUACACAUAUCAGUCUUAAAAAGUAUUUUACAUUUUUUUUUGAUUUUCUGCAUUAAAUCAUCAACAAAAUAAUCAAGAUAUAUACAUUCAGAGUGGUUUGAUGUGAAAAUCAGAAUUAUACACAGUUGCGGUGAAAGGCUCCAGACAUCUGAAGCAUCUUUUGCCUUUGAAAGCUACAUUACGGAAAGUUACUACAUAAAUAUUUCUGUUUCCUGAUGCCUGAGACAUUGAUUUAUGAUAGUGUUGAGAUAGAAUUAAAAACAUACAGGGUGUUAUAAGGCAAAGUGGUCCCCAAAGAAAACAUAUUUUCAUGGAUUUUACACAGUUUUACCUUUAUUAACAUUAUACAGUCUUCAUAUGUAGAGUCACUAAAUGUUUUGGAUAAUAAAUAAAAUGGCUAUAUUUGCAUCGCGACACCUGGUUCCCAUCACCAAUACUGUUAGGAAAAUCUGAAUUGAUAUGUUUUUCUUUAAUUAACCAUUUCUUAUCAAACCACUCAGAGUGACUUUGUUUAUACUGCAACAAGUGAAUUAUGCAGAAUUUUUGAAAAAUACAAUAAUGAGAGCAAAAUCAAGAGGUUGGAAAAUGGUCACAUUUUUGGUUUUGACUGUUCUGGUAUGUAAAACCACACAAACACUACAAGUGGACAUCAAGAAAUACAAGAAAAAUGUGGGCCCUUUAAUAUCCGACCUUGACUAACAGGGUACUGAUUUUGUAACAAUACUGUCCACACCAUCCAAAAAGUCAUAAGAUGUCAUAAUUAUCCCAUAGCCAGUGUAUUUAGAAACCUACAUCUUUGAGCAAAUAGUGUCUGAAUAUCCUGAAAAAGUGAUACAUUAAAUUUACAUGACUCAUCGGCACAAUUACAUCAGCACAAUGUCUUCUUUCAGUUUACUUACUUUAGGCAAUAAUUGUGCUGAUGUAAUAUGUUCUAUUCAUGUGGAAGUGGUGUAAACGUUUAAAUCACAUAAAUUCAAUGCGUUACUAUUUUUCAGAAACAGAGUGGAAAUGCUUAUUUCUUUUCCAUGUUCAUAAUCCACCUUCAGCUCCAUUAAUGGAUCACACCACCACACGGCGUUAACAAACAAGAAUCAAUGGGACUAUUUGUGUGAGAAAAGCAAUAGUGUAGAAAGCCAUGCAUUUCAGUCACUUACACUUUGAGCACUUCCUGGAGGAAGCAAGAUGCAUUUGCUUUGUUUUCUCUGUAAAUGUUCUUCUUUUUUCUGUUUCAUUUGUUAAUUUUACUUUCAUUUGUGGGCUAUUUUUGAUAAAUAAAUACUUGUUUGUCAUUGUUCUAAAAUUUCAGGUGUACAAGAUGUUGAUUGUUGUUUUCUGUGUAGAAGAAUACCUGUUAAGAGGAGUUAUUGUAUGGGAGAAUGCGAGAAUGUGAGAUGUGUAUGCGGCUAACAUGUUGGUGCAUGACUGUGCAAAUGUACACCUCGCCUCAUUAUAUUUUGCACAUUACAUUCAAAUCACAGCAGUACAAAUUGUGCCAUUUGUUUGCUUUCUGUUUAGAAAUAGAAAGUACUUUAAAUACUUUAAUAAAUGAUGCUAAUUAUUGCUCAUAUUGAUUUAACAUUAUCUCCCCUCUAGAUUUAACGUGAUCAUUUAUUUGCUAUGGGUUUCAUCAUGUUUCACCAUAUACAGUGAUGAACUAGAUUUCUAAGCACAUGUUCUGCUCUAUUCAUUAAAUAAUUGCAGUAAAGCUGUGCAUAUUUGUCACCUAUAAUUCAGCAAAUGCACAGAUAGGUCUAACUGCACCUGUGCCCUCUUAGUUGGUGUAUUAUAUAUUGCAUCCACUAUCGUUAAGAUUUGUUUAGGUGAGGUAAAAAUGGAGUCACAUCUCAAGAAUAGCGCUAUUGGUUUCGCCUUGGGUUCUGUGAGCUUCGUUGCUCUUGGGUGCUCUCUAGCCUGUCACCAAGCUUUUCGUUAUUUUAAAAGACACAGCAGUGUUGAUCUCUUAAAGUUUUAACUCAAUAUUCUCUUGCAAGCAGACUCGAUAGUGGUUAAUGUCUCAUGAGCUGGGGUUCAAUUCCCUGCUCGGGUAACAAUGGGAGUAUUUUAGACUGCCUUGGAAGAGACCCUUAACACAACAUCUACUUUUCUCUGAAACAUGAUUCGACUGUCUCUCUUGAUAAGAAUGUCUGAUGUAUGUUGUAAAGGAAAGUAUCAUGUGCAGAGGCCUGUAUGAGCACCUGUUUGAGAUUCUCCAGAGUUUUUAUAGCAAAGCAUUAUUGAUGACUGGAGCCCACAAACAUACAUUAUCAAAGCAUAUCUUGAAAAAGCCACAGUUAGCCCCCAUUGCGCUAUGCUCACACCCUUCCAAUUGUGUUAAAACACUCUUAAGGGAUGCAUAUAUUUAACCACCACUAAAUGGGAUUAGCCAACAGUGAUGCAGCAUAGCUUUCCACCAGCUAGCAACUGACCCACUUGCGGAAAGUAAGCAGGUGUUCUUGUCGUCAGUCUACCCCUGGGUCCCCGUAUCCCUGGUGAUUUAGGAUGAAGCCAGCAUUAAUGUUUUUGUCCUGGGGUACGCGAUGUCACUUUCAAUUUUGCAGAACUCAUCACAUAAGUAUACCCCUGUGACUGCAAGCAGCAAAAAACUUUAGAGCUUUAGAGAGAAUGCAAGUGAAUGCACGAACUUCAAGGUGGACUGCGGCUUUGAUUUCAGCCUGGCUAGCACAUACUGACCAUCUAUACACUAUAUAUAUAAUGUGCCUUUUAAGUGGGGCACUUAUUACACAUUGUACGCACAUUGCUAUCUGAGGAAUUUGCACAGCAAACGUUCUUCCAUUUGUAUUUUAAUGGAUGUGGAAUUGCAGCAAAUAAAUCAUAUGGCUUGUUGGAGUUGUGCAAUGAUGUUGGCUGCAUAAAGCAUGUAUGGAGAGAUUUAACCAGAAUAUCUGCUUUGGCCUACAAUGUGCAAUGCUGUUAUAGAAUCUGUAGAACUGUACACGUUUGAAACAUUCAUUUUCUUGCCAUCUUGUUACUCGAAAGUUAGAUUCAGGGCAUGUAAUGUAAUGUAAUAUAAAAUGUCCAAUUCAUUGCCAUACACUGUUGAUCACCACAGCACUUCUGGAAGCUACUAUGGGGAAUGAUGUUGAGGACAGGCAGAACGUGGUUAGACAUUUAGACUAUAUUUAUAGGUAGAAACUUGCAGGUUCAUAGUUCUGUAUGGUGAGCAAUAAUGCAUGUUUUAUCAUAUAUAUGAAUAUUCAUGUUCAGUUAUUCAUAUAUACAUUUAUAUAUAUAUGAAUGGUGCCUUACAUAUUUCAUGUCACAUUGAUCUCAUUAAGAUCUCAUAAUGGAAUGCAAACAGCUAACUUCUAAAAACAUAGAUAGAACUAGUUUUGAUGGUGAUGUUCUUUAGAUGACUUAGAUGACUUACAUCCUGCGGAUUGAAAGUUAGAGUCUAGCAGCUUUGAUAGCUUAUAUAGCAACAUUAAUGACCGAGUUUGACAAACUGACUGAAGUAAACAGUAUAUGAAUGUACUGAAUGUAAGUCUUCUGGGAUUGUAUUCUGGAAUGACUCCGUGUUAAACUAUGUGCAAGGCAAUACACCCCACAUUUACUCUGGAUGUCUAUAACUGGCCCUCAUAGUCCAACUUAAAAUGCCUUAUCAUAAAAUCAGUGUGAAGGACCAAAAUGAGCACAUUAAUGUCCAGUCAUUGCUUAUGGUUGGUUUUCCAGAGGAUGGUGCAGCAAAGACCGCCUUUGUAUGCUCUCUAAUUGCUAUACAGUCUUGCUUUGUGUGCAAAUCAUGUAUGCCAUAUGUGGUCAGUGAGUAGUCAAAGCUUCACUCUGGCAAAGCUCAUUAAACUACUCCCCUCCCAGUUUUUUUUUUCAGUAUGUAGACUCAAACAACCCCAAAACAGUAUGACAUAAGCUAUAGCGUAACGUAAGCAGUAUUGUAUCUAUCUAACUGCUUUAUCCUUCUGUGGAGUAACUUUACGAAUGUGCUGCCAGUAGACGGAGCAUGACCAAAACACUAGUGCAUUUCUGAAAGAAAAUGAAAUCCCCCAAGACGAUACACACAAUAUCCACCCGUCUUCAGUCCUGUGUGCUUUCAUCCUGUAUGUAUGUGUGGGUAUUGGUCUACAGUGUAGCCUUGCCCAUUUGUACCAUGUAAACACUGUGCAGUCUUUUAUCAUUCAUUCACUAUGAGCUGUGAGAAGCUCCGUAUGCAUUGUGUUUCGUCCUGCUUCUGUACUGAACCAUUAGUCAUCACUCGUAUUGUGCAAAAUACAACAGAGACCUUAAAGUUAAAUGGGCGUUCUGUACAGGUGUCUUCUGUCUUGUGCUCUUAACAUGACUGGGUGAUGAAUUACAUGUGUGGCUUAAUAUGUACAGUGUGUGAAAUACAGUAAAUUAACAAAUGUAAUUGAUAGAGAGUAUAUUAUACAUCUAAAAUAAUGUAUAUAUGUAUGAACUGUAAACGUACAUAGAAGAUGUACGCAAUAAAAUCCAUUUGAAUAUUAA